GUAAGUAUAGUUUAACCAAAACAUCAGAUUGUGAUUCUAAAAAUAGAGGUUAAAAUCCUUUUACUCACC
rnacentral:tRNA from 1 species